UUUCCACAACCAUCGAAGGCUACUCUGAUUUGCAAUUAGCAGGAUAAACUGAAGAUAACACCUUGCAGAAGCAGAUCUCAAUUAACAACUGAUGGAAAAAAGAGGAAACUGAGGAGGUCAAAAGAAAGGGAACAUACAAUGAGGAAGAAGGAGAAACCCAUUCUUGGACCCAUUCCAAGAAUCAUGCAAGCCAUUCUGCUGGAUGUGAAGUGGUAUCUGAUUGUUACUAGAAGGCUAUCCUUACAAGAAAUGCUAAAGGAAAUUGUUCAGACUGACAGCAAUUGACACCAGACGGCAUAUGUGUUUCAUCUUACAGGUGCAAAUUAUAUUUUCAGUUCCGCUUCUUGAACAGACCAAGGCUACAUUCCCCAGUCCUCUGAGGCUACUCUCUAGUCUGAGACAAAAGGCUGUAAUGGAAAGUGAUAUGUGGUUGCUUCCAGGCCAAAGCUCUUAGCCAGGACACAAUUGGCCUUUCUGUCUUCGUCUACUGAAGAGACUGUGAAGGCACAUUUUGAAAUGGAGGUGCCAUAAGAUCAAAGCAACCUGGCUUGCUGAGCUAGUUGCUAAGCUAACACAGACUACAGCUGCCCUGGAGAGUCUCCUGGACAUGGAACAAACUCAGUGUGAAUGAGAAUAAAC